UACAGAGGGUGCAAGCGUUAAUCGGAAUUACUGGGCGUAAAGCGUGCGUAGUCGGUUAUCUAAGUCGGGUGUGAAAUCCCCGGGCUCAACCUGGGAAUUGCAUUCGAUACUGGAUAGCUAGAGUUCGGCAGAGGGAAGCGGAAUUUCCGGUGUAGCGGUGAAAUGCGUAGAUAUCGGAAGGAACAUCAGUGGCGAAAGCGGCUUCCUGGACCAGAACUGACGAUCAGGCACGAAAGCGUGGGGAGCAACAGG
rnacentral:rRNA from 1 species